AGUGAACGCUGGCGGUAGGCCUAACACAUGCAAGUCGAACGGCAGCACAGUAAGAGCUUGCUCUUACGGGUGGCGAGUGGCGGACGGGUGAGGAAUACAUCGGAAUCUACUUUUUCGUAGGGGAUAACGUAGGGAAACUUACGCUAAUACCGCAUACGACCUACGGGUGAAAGCAGGGGAUCUUCGGACCUUGCGCGAUUGAAUGAGCCGAUGUCGGAUUAGCUAGUUGGCGGGGUAAAGGCCCACCAAGGCGGCGAUCCGUAGCUGGUCUGAGAGGAUGAUCAGCCACACUGGAACUGAGACACGGUCCAGACUCCUACGGGAGGCAGCAGUGGGGAAUAUUGGACAAUGGGCGCAAGCCUGAUCCAGCCAUACCGCGUGGGUGAAGAAGGCCUUCGGGCUGUAAAGCCCUUUUGUUGGGAAAGAAAAGCAGCAGGUUAAUACCCCGCUGUUCUGACGGUACCCAAAGAAUAAGCACCGGCUAACUUCGUG
rnacentral:rRNA from 1 species